CGCGAAGAACCUUACCUGGUCUUGACAUCCACAGAACAUUCCAGAGAUGGGAUGGUGCCUUCGGGAACUGUGAGACAGGUGCUGCAUGGCUGUCGUCAGCUCGUGUUGUGAAAUGUUGGGUUAAGUCCCGCAACGAGCGCAACCCUUAUCCUUUGUUGCCAGCGGUCCGGCCGGGAACUCAAAGGAGACUGCCAGUGAUAAACUGGAGGAAGGUGGGGAUGACGUCAAGUCAUCAUGGCCCUUACGACCAGGGCUACACACGUGCUACAAUGGCGCAUACAAAGAGAAGCGACCUCGCGAGAGCAAGCGGACCUCAUAAAGUGYGUCGUAGUCCGGAUUGGAGUCUGCAACUCGACUCCAUGAAGUCGGAAUCGCUAGUAAUCGUGGAUCAGAAUGCCACGGUGAAUACGUUCCCGGGUCUUGUACACACC
rnacentral:rRNA from 1 species